CAAGGAAGGCAGCAGGCGCGCAAAUUACCCACUCCCGGCACGGGGAGGUAGUGACGAAAAAUAACGAUACGGGACUCUUUUGAGACCCCGUAAUCGGAAUGAGCACGUCCCAAACCCUCUAACGAGGACCCAUUGAAGGGCAAGCCUGGUGCCAGCAGCCGCGGUAACUCCAGCUUCAAUAGCGUAUAUUAAAGUUGUUGCGGUUAAAAAGCUCGUAGUUGGAUCUCAGUUCCGGUCGGGGGGUCCGUCUUACGACGGUCACUUCUCGGACCGAACAGCCAGCCGGUUUCCCCCGAUGAUCUUCACCGGUUGUCCCGGGUGACCGGCGAGUUUACUUUGAAAAAAUUAGAGUGCUCAAAGCAGGCUCCAGAAGCCUGGAUAAUGGUGCAUGGAAUAAUGGAAUAGGACCUCGGUUCUAUUUUGUUGGUUUUAGGAUCACGAGGUAAUGAUUAAGAGGGACAGACGGGGGCAUUCGUAUUGCGACGCUAGAGGUGAAAUUCUUGGACCGUCGCAAGACGAACGACUGCGAAAGCAUUUGCCAAGAAUGUUUCCAUUAAUCAAGAACGAAAGUCAGAGGUUCGAAGACGAUCAGAUACCGUCCUAGUUCUGACCAUAAACGAUGCCAGCCAGUGAUCCGGCUGCGUUCCUCAAAUGACGCGCCGGGCAACUUCCGGGAAACCAAAGCUUUUGGGUUCCGGGGGAAGU
rnacentral:rRNA from 1 species